CGCUGUAAUGUUAUUAGAGCUACGCAGCGGAUCUCUCUGGUCUCUCCUGCCCUCUUCUCAGAAAUUAAAGCAAGGCUGCAUCCGAGAGUGGAGAAGGUCCCCCUUCUGGUAGUAGGAGGAAGGAUGCAAAAGUAAGAUCGCAGCCUUUUGCCACACACCGAAAGCUGAGGGGCCGGAGAGAAAGGGGGGGGGAUAUGUUUUAAGGAAGGCUGACCAUUGUCACCGAUUCCGCUCUGCUCCGUUUCUGUCGCCCCCCCCCCCACUUCAUUAGGCAACUCACCCCUGAUCUGCUGGUUUAUUUACUUAUUUCCUCCGCAACCGUGGAAGGGAACCUGUGAAUUUUCCACAAAUUUCACGGCGGAGGCUAUUUGAAAAGCAGUUUUCUUCUGCAAAUUGCGCCUCUUAAAACAAACGCGCGCCUGGUCGCGUGCUGUUUAAAUAGACAUUUUUAUAUAUCGAUUUUAUAUCUGCUGUCUCCUUUUCAUUUAAACAAGUGCACUGUUGCCGUCGUCUUAUUUCCGCAACUUUUAAUGAAUUUUUUUUUUAAGUAAUCACGGCAGCUGCCUCGCGUUUACUGGUACGAAUAUUAUUUGUAAAUCUGAUUGUAGGGGUUGCCUUUUUCUCGCCCUUCGGUGCUUCAACUAGGAUUAGGAUAUUGACGUCUCUCCAGUUCUAUGAAUAAGGAUGCCUCUAGGGAACUGCCCUUGGGGAGGAGCGGAAGAACUUCUGAUUUAUGAACUGCACUAUGAAGUUAUGUACUACCUGAGUAGAUAUUUAUUGAGAUGCAAUUUGGGACAUAGGCUCUAUCAAUCACAGUAGGUAAGUUUUUAAAGAACUCUGCCUAUGAUCACAAAAAUAAAUUCCAUAAGAGGAGAUUUUAAUCCAGCUCAAUUCUCUUUAGGUAGCAAGGUUGGAAUUCAGGCUUUGACCUGGUAAUUUUGUUUAUGUAUGACAGGAAACAUCUGUAGCAGCUAAAGGUGUUUCCAAGCAAAAGGGUUGACACCAUCCAGGCCUCAGUUUCUGCACGAAGGAAACAAACCUCUUGUAUUUUUCAACUAAAAAGUUCCAAUUAGUCAGCAAAUUCUGUUUUUUGUAUUUAAUAUAAAACGGUGGCAAGGCAGGAGAAUACAACUAAAAUACAUAAUUAUGUACCUCUUAAUUUUUUAACAUAAGCUUGUAUAAUCUUUCUAAGGUAUUAAAAACUUUGCUCCUUCUUUACUGAAGCAAACAGGAAAAUUCAUUAUCUAUCUAUCUAUAUAUCUAUCUAUCUAUCUAACUAUGUAUGUAUGUAUAUAUGUAUGUAUGUAUGUAUGUAUGUAUGUAUGUGUGUAUUUUAUUAAAUCAACAUUUUAGAUACAUUUCUUCAACUUGAUUUGUACCAAAAAUUGAAAAACUCUUGAUUAACACUUGCAAAAUCAGCUUUAUUUAAUUAAGAAUUUAAAAUGCAAUAAAUACACAUAUCCAUCCAAAAUGGUAUGCUUCAUAGCUUAAAGCACAACUGUUGCUUAACCACGGAGAAGCAAGUAUUAUUUGCCCCAGAUUAUUUAAACUCUGACAGUCCUUCAGAAACAAAAAGUAUAUGGGAGUGUAAUUUCUAAGGUGAAUUGUGAAAGGGAAGUGCAUCAGUGAGAGAGCUUAUGUAGAUAAAAAAAUCAGCUUCUAUUGUUCUCAACGUAAAAAACAAUCAUGUUCAUAUUCUGUGGCAGUCAUACUGUUUUAUGUGAAUGGAUAACAUUACAGAAAAAAUAUUGCAGGUUUUUUACAGAUGGCCUAAUUUUCUUUGCUGAAAUUGCAUUAAACGUUUGAGGAGCUGUUUUUCAGUUACAUGCAAAUGUAAGUGAUUCUGUCUAAAUAUGCUGUACUACUUUGCACAGCUCCUUUAUAGGUUUAAGCUAGGGUAGGAAAUGUAGUAACAGGAGACAACUGCAUUAAGUGCCUAUCUCCCCAGUUUUCUAAAUGUUUCUUACCCCUCCAGGAAUAAAUCUCAAUUCAGGAAGCCAAGCAUUCAUCAAAAUUUAAUUUGUUUCUUUAAAUGCACAACAAAAACUAAAUAAGAGCAAAACAUAAAGCUUCUCAUAAGCUUCAGGCUAUAUCUAUACAUGACCUGGAUAAUUUUCUAAAAGGAAAUGCCUCCCGUCCAAUUUUACAACCAUAUAAAAAGUAAAAACACUUGAAAUAAUAUCAUACUCUUGCUCUUGAUGCAUGAUUUAUAUGCUGUCAUGUGUCACUUUUUUUCUUAAUUUUCAUGUGAGAUAAAACUAGGAUGGAAAAACUAGUAAAGGAACAAACCAUGUAAAUGCACCUUAUACUGAGGUUUUUAUUAGUGGUGUUUUAAAAUAUUCACAUAUUUAUAUUUUUGCUGUACAGAAGUAUGGAUAUAGCAGAAUAAGUAGAGUUUAUAAAUGAUAUGUAUUCUCUAAAGAAUUUGGAAAUAUUUAAUAUCAAAUAAAUCCACAAUUUAAAAUGUCCACAGCAAAGCAUCAACCCCUAUGAGAAGUUUCAAAUCUCUGUAACAAAAUUGCAAUCCUGAGGUCCAAACCACUGGGGGGGAAAUAACCCACUGCUCUCACUACAGGUUAGUAUGUUUCAGGCUAUUUUCCUUCUUCUAAUCUCACUUAUCUUUUAUGAAUUUUGCCGGUAUGCCACCACAAUUCAUUAGAAUCAAGUUGCUACUACCGUCUUCACAGACAGCAGGAGUGCAAAGUUUACGUAAUUGCAAAAUGCACUGAGAUUUUCCUCAACACAGUGUGGUUUUAAAACCCCUUGUGAAAUAGUGAAAUAGGAGACUGACCUGAAGACUGUAUAAACCUGGAUGGUCUGGUUGUGAGUUGAAAGGUCAGGCUUGCUGAGGUAGGUCCUGAGGCUGCUUCAACCUAAUAGUAACACUUGAUUUGAACAGGAUUGUGUUAAAAGCCCAAGUUUCAUGAAUUCAUCUGUAUUGUUGGCAUGUCUGGAACUUUGCUAAAAAGCUGACAGUCUAAAGCUGACACACAGAGAACAGUGAUCAAGGAACUACAAAAAAGGAAGGUGUAACCAGCAACUAGAUAAGAUUAUAAUCUGAGAGAGGAAAACAUUGUUUUUCUGUUUCAUCCUGCUAGAUUUUCUUUGCAUUGUUUCUUUGCCCCCAGUUAUUUUCAUUGUGAAUUUCCUACUUUCUCCAUGCAUUUCCCCCUUUCUCCCAUUAAAAUCACCUAAUUUUGUAUAGAAUUACAAAUGUUUUAUAUUGGAAUUUAUGAAUUCCAUUAAUUGUCAUAUGAAAAACUGCAUUAACUGCACUUCACACAACAGAAAUUCUUGCAUGUUAAGCGAUACCAUUUCAAAAGUAGAUAAACAGUCACUUUUGACAUUUUUAAAAUCAAUUUAAGAUAAAAAAAAUUGCAUUCUUUUUUUCUGAUUAUUUUAUGCUAGUGACUUCAGAGAUACUUUUCAUUGUAGAAAAGGAUCCAUUUCGUCAAGUUUUAUUCUUUCUAAGUAUUUUCUCUGUAUCAAGUAUGGAACUGGGUGCUGAAAAUUAGGCUGUCAUAAAAAAAACAAAUAUUUUUUAAAAAUUAUAAAUAACUAAAGAAAUUAAAUUGCAAUCAAUCAGCAAGGACCAGAUGGUGUUCAGUGGAGAAUUCUAAAGGAACUAACAACCAGUAUAACUGAGCUGCUAACACAAAUAUGUAAUUUAUCAUUGAGAAGACUCUACUAGCAAUCUGGAGAAUGGCCAAGGUUAUACCCAUCUCUUUAAAAGGUGUUAAUGAUGAUCCUGGGAAUUAAAGCUAGUAAUUCACAUUUUGGUAUCAAAGAUCAUCUGAGGAAAAAAAAUGAAAUAAAAAUCUGGGGGGGGGGGGGGAAUGCAAGUCCUAUGUACUUUUAGCUAACCUCUUAAGUUAAUGAUUCAUGAAGUAGUCAACAUGCAUGAAAAUGACUUAAUUUUUGAAG